AGAGUUUGAUUAUGGCUCAGGCUUUUAGCUGGCGGCGUGCCUAACACAUGCAAGUCGAACGACCCUCCCGCGCGGAUUCCCUCUGGAUGAAGCGCGGAUGACUGAGUGGCGGACGGGUGAGUCACGCGUGGGCAACCUGCCCCGUGCCGGGGGACAACAGCCGGAAACGGCUGCUAAUACCGCAUGAUCCGGGAGGGCCGCAUGGCCCUGCCGGGAAAGCUCCGGCGGCACGGGAUGGGCCCGCGUCUGAUUAGUUUGUUGGCGGCGUAACGGCCCACCAAGACUGCGAUCUCCGACCGGCCUGACAGGGCGGUCGGCCUCAUUGGGACUGAAAACCCGUCCAGACUCCUGCGGGAGGCAACAUUGGGGAAUAUUGCACAGUGUGGGAAACCCUGAUGCAGCGACGCCGCGUGGGCGACUAAACGCUCCGGCUCGUAUGGCCCUGUCAGCAAGAAACAACACAGACAGUACCUGACCAACAAGCCCCGGCUAACUACGUGCCAUCAGCCGCGGCAAUACGUAGGGGGCAAGCGUUAUCCGGAUUCACUGGGCGUAUUGGGAGCGCAGGCGGCACGGCAAGUCUGGCGUGAAAGCCCGGGGCCCAACCCCGGUACUGCCUUGGAUACUGCCGGGCUGGAUUGCCUGAGGGAUAAGCGGAAUUCCUGGUGUAGCGGUGAAUGCGCGAAUAUCAGGAAUAACACCGGAGGCUCGAAGUGGCUUACUGGACUGCAAUUGACUCUGAGGCUCCUAAGCGUGGAGAGCGAGGAGGAUAAAAUCCCCUGGAUACUCCCGGCC
rnacentral:rRNA from 1 species